rnacentral:sRNA from 1 species
CCUGAAACGACACCGGUUUCUUGAUCGUCUUGCUG